rnacentral:rRNA from 1 species
UACGGGGGGGGGCAAGCGUUGUUCGGAAUUACUGGGCGUAAAGGGCGCGUAGGCGGUUCGCUAAGUUGAAUGUGAAAACUCUGGGCUUAACCCAGAGCCUGCAUUCAAUACUGGCGGGCUAGAGUUCUGGAGGGGAUAGCGGAAUUCCUGGUGUAGCGGUGAAAUGCGUAGAUAUCAGGAGGAACACCGGUGGCGAAGGCGGCUAUCUGGACAGAGUCUGACGCUGAGACGCGAAAGCGUGGGGAGCAAACAGG